UUAAGAUUCUUAUGGACCCAUAACAUAAGCUAAGACAUGUAUGGAUUCUUCUAGAUUUUUAUUUUGACAAGAGAAAAGACAUAAAGACACCAUCGAAGUUGUCUCAUAUUUGCAUAAAGACACCUAAACUUUUGAAGUGUCCUAUCACACCACAAAACAACUAUAUAUCAUUGUAAAUUGGCCAUUUUUACCCAUUAACUCAUCUGGGUUGUUUACACGCACGUUAAGUGCAUCAUGGGCCAUUUUUCCUUUUUAUUUACCAGUUUAAAACAACCACAUGUCAUUUUAUUUCUUUAAUAUUAAUUAUUUAAUCAAUUUUUGUAUCUUCCCCAAUUUAAACUCAAAAAUAGCCGUUGGUAGCCCUAAAAUUUUGUUCCAUGGCAAGAACAAUAUUGGUGCUCUCUUUUUGACGACUUCAUAUCUUCCUCAAGAAAAUAAGGUAGGUAUUCGUCUUUUCUCUUUUAAUUUCCAGUAGAAACGUUAAUUUGAAGUUUUUUUUAUGGUUGAAUUUCUUCUCAAUUUUAUGGUUAGUUUUUGAUUGAAAAUGUUAAAUGCAAUGUUGAAUCGUAUUUGUAAUGAUGAGAAUGAUCCGAUGUUGCGAGUGAAACUGCGAUGCAAACAUGGUGACUUACUAUCAAUGCAAACUUCAUGGUCGGAGCAUAACCCAACUCGAAGAUUUUGGUCUUGUCCACGCUAUCGUGAGAAUGCGUGCAACUUCUUUAGAUGGAGGGAUCGAGAAGAAGUUGAUAUAAGAUCCAAGUGUGUUAUUCCGAGAUUAGCAAAGAGAAUUAAGGAGUUGGAAGAAAUAUUGACAUCUUAUGAAAGUCGUGUUGAAAGUAACCAAGUCAUGAUGAAGGAGAAAAA